UGGGGAAUAUUGGACAAUGGGCGAAAGCCUGAUCCAGCCAUGCCGCGUGUGUGAAGAAGGUCUUCGGAUUGUAAAGCACUUUAAGUUGGGAGGAAGGGCAGUAAGCGAAUACCUUGCUGUUUUGACGUUACCGACAGAAUAAGCACCGGCUAACUCUGUGCCAGCAGCCGCGGUAAUACAGAGGGUGCAAGCGUUAAUCGGAAUUACUGGGCGUAAAGCGUGCGUAGGUGGUUCGUUAAGUUGAAUGUGAAAGCCCCGGGCUCAACCUGGGAACUGCAUCCAAAACUGGCGGGCUAGAGUAGGGCAGAGGGUGGUGGAAUUUCCUGUGUAGCGGUGAAAUGCGUAGAUAUAGGAAGGAACACCAGUGGCGAAGGCGACCACCUGGGCUCAUACUGACACUGAGGUGCGAAAGCGUGGGGAGCAAACAGG
rnacentral:rRNA from 1 species